CGGGAGCCCCGCCCGGUGCCCGGUGCAGGCGGGAGGCGGCCUGGCGCGGCUACCGGGCUUUGUGCGCGCUGCCUCCCCCGGCGCCGCCCGCCGCCGCCGCCGCAUGCGAAAGCCGAGGCAGCUGGGGAGAGCGGCGGCGGGGACCGCCGUGCCCCCUCGCGAAAGCCGAUCCCGCUGAUCUCAUCGCGGCGGGUCACGAAUCCAAUGGCCGGGGAAUUAACACCAGAUGGCGACGCCCCUUCCCCCCGGCCCGGCCCUCCCGUCCGCGGGCGGGCGCCCGAGGGGGACCCGCGCCGAGGGGGAGCUCGGCCCCGGGCACCCGGGGUUCAGCUGCAAGGAGGGCGCGGAGCGCCGCUACCCGCCCGGAGCCGGAACCGCCCCGAGCCCGCUCCGGGGCAGGGCAGCCCGGCGUGCGGGAGCGCUGUGCUGCUGACCGCGAGAGGAUGGACGCGCAGUGCUGCACGGGCAGCGGUCUGCGGAAACUAAAGCAAGCGUGCGUGUUCGUGGGCUUUGCCGGGGGGUUUCUGCAGUAUUUCAUCUCUCUAGGCUGCGUACAGGCAGCUGAAUUACACUUUGGGAUGCCAAAAAUAAACGCGUGCUUCCAGGUAAGCGCUGAGUCACGGCCAGGGCAAGUUCUGUCAAACCACUGCAAGCUACACAAGAGUCAAAAGCUGAGCACUUCCAUCGCUGCUCAUUAAUAUCUCUACACACUAACUUGAAACAUCAGUGUUUUCUAAUCCUAAUAACCCUGGCUCUAAGUUGCCCAUCUCCAGGAACACCAGCAGACAGCACGCAGAUGGUGCGCUUUCCCUCACACGCCCUGCUCGGCUCACAGCUCCGCACAUCUCACUUCAGAAGCAGCUUCUCUUUGCGCUGCGUAUGCACGCCCCUCCCCAGAACUUACUAUAAGGAGGGAACCAAUGAAGAUUAACCUCUCAUAGAGACACAGUAGCAGUCCUUCCAUUGCAAUCCUUAAGGGUGACAUUAAAUAGAUGUCUCUUGUGGGAAGAGACGGUAAAAGCUUACAGAGGUGAACAACUUGCAGUACUUCCCACUGGUAUUUUCCCUCAAAUUCUACUUCCUCAAAUGCUCCCUACUCUCUGUACUUCUGGGGUGAAGAGUGCAAGAAAUUUUUACAUCAAUUUUCAUGUUGAUAUUUACUUUCACACUACUUUUUACUGAAGUCUUCAGACCUGAGCAAGUUCAAAGAACUGAACAGGACAAGAAAAAUGGCUGUGCUUACACCAUAAACAACGGAGAGGAGAUUCUCAGACCUUGAAGCUGCAAAUUCUUUGAGUCUUCAGCCAAGAUACCUCAGGAUGAGCUGGAAUACAAAAGACCGUUUGUUUCACACGUUCCACAUGGGCAGGACAAGUGUAAGAUGAUGGCAGUGGGCUUCUGUGGGGAUCUGAAGAUGCCUGCAGGGCUCCCGCACUCAGAACAUCCACCAAGCUGAUGUAGAAAGCAGGACAAAUAUUGAAUUCCCCCUCCUGGCCCUGCGUACACACCUACCUCCCAGCCACCAAUGUAUUCUAUGCAAUAAAUAGAUGAAUGGGGGGUCUCUAUAUGUUCCAAACUUCUUCAAGCCUAGAAGAGGUUUUCUCCUGCUCCACAUUCACUCAGGUGGCUGCUGGUUUAUAUACACACAACAGGAAAACUUGGAAUGAGCAGUCUGCCAUAUUCUUUCCUAGUGGACAAGUUACUGAAUUUAAAUCCCAUCAUUUGAGUUACCAGUAGGAUCUACCCCUUGGCUUUCAUCUAGGAGAGAAUCCUUAGAAUGGGCAACGUUUGAACAGUUAAGGGGGAAAGCCUGUGCCUUGCCUUCUUUUCCUCAGUUUCUAACAGAAUUCUUUUCCUUAAGCAGCUUCCCAGUGCAGCAGUGUCUGCUAGCACUUUCUCUGGAAGUAGGCAGUAUGAUUUUCAGCAUAAGAUGAGAUGUGGUUGUUGCUGUCUGUGCCAAGCUCAAUACAAAAAGCAGACUUGGAAAGUCCUUCUGCACAGUUUGUAAUACCAAUUCUACAAAUAAAAGAUGAAAAAAAUCACAUUAGAAGUCAACUUUUGUAUCUUUCCAGCUAGCUUUAGACACCUAGGUCUGAAAAUUGAACAAUGCAGAGAUCAGUCAGGCGGAACAGGGUUUUCGGAACACACUUCAUGUGCAAAUGCAAAAAUCCUUGAGAGUGUAGAGAGUGUUAUUUUGAUCAAUGAGGGCUAGAACACACUAUUGUAUAUAGAUCAGAAUAUAUACAUGCCUCAUAUAUAGAUGAGAAUAUACCUGUACCUCUCCACAGUGAUCAUUAAAGGAACAGAAAACAGAUAUCUUAUAAUACAAAUGUGAUUGUAAAAGACUUGGAACACAACACAGAUACAGCAUGUUCUUCUGAGCUGAUCUAUUACUGAUACAGUAACUGGAGAGGAAGAGGCACAGGUUUGUAAGACAGCAUUAUGAACCUUUCAAGAUAAACCCUGUGAUGCAUAAAGUCAGCAAAAUCAACCAUGUGGUGCAGUUCCUGGACCUGCACACUGUGAAGGAAUGAAUCCAGACUUGACAUAAGUACCAUGCAUUACUCACAUUAUUGACAUCUUCCACCUGUUUGAUAAUCCUCACACAAUAAAAAUUGCUCAGAAAGACAAACUUAAGAACAAUGUACACAACUGAUUAAAGCUUAAGGAUAAUAUUUCUCAAAAUGACUAGGAAACUCAAUAUGAUUUCUCAAUAUGACUAGGAAACACCACUGUGAAGUGCAAGUGAAAACCUUUUGCCUCUCCUCUCUGCUUGAAAUUGCUGGGCAGAAUUGUCAGAGAAGAAACCGCCCACUACUGCCUAGGAAUGGGAAAGAAAAUGAAAGUUGAUUUAGACUGGAAAAGGCCACAUUUUGCUUUCUGCUUAGGUUAUGUAUGAGAAUCAUAGUUUGAAGUUGUAUCUUGGCAUUUGAGCUUGGCACAGACCAAAAGCAGUGAACUGCUGAACUUGGUUCUUCCCAUACAUGUUCAUCUCCCUGUUAAGUUCCACACCAACACCAUGGAUGAACCUUCAUCCACCUUCAACUCCACGUAAAAAUGAUCAGGAAGUAUUUCCUAUACACAUACAAUGAAUACUGAGCUCUGACCCUACAAUCCCUCUAAACAACAAAUCCAUUAACUAUGAUUUUUCUCUCUUGGUUUCUGGGUAUAUCCAAAAGGCAAUGUCUGCUCUGGUUCCUGCAGCAGCACAAACAAGCAAGCAAAACCCAUCUCUAAAUCCACAGGACAACACAAAUAUAGAAUAGAGAUUUAUGAAUUAUAAGUACUAAAUUUUCUUGCAUCACAUUUUUUAAGGUGCUUAAGAAAUCUGUAUUUUUUCUAACAACCCCUCAGUAUAGCAAUACUAGAAUCAUCAUUCUUAUAAAGGAAGAAAAGUUGAAAAUUAUGAUGAAUUGAUUUCAUGUUUUCACAAAUUUUAGAAAUCCACACGAAAAGCACUGCCUGGUGACAUUGCUUCUCUACCAUAUCUGUCCUUGUCACAGUGAAUUCAAACUUUAUCACUGCUACUUGGACUCUAUCAGAGCUAUUAACUAGGAAGCUAGGACACUUGCAUCUCAGUGAGCUGAGAAAUGGCUACAAGACAGAGAUCCACUCUCCCAGAUCAUUGGGCAGAAGUUAGAUUUUACUUCUUGAGUAAAACCCUGUAGAACCACAAUAAUGAAAGCCCACACAGAUUAGGAAAUCAGUGCUUACAUAAAUGUAUAACUAGCUCAAAGAUUCUGAACAGAGCAUAAAGGUUUUGAAUGCCUCAUCUGAGAAAUAAGGAUGACAUUCAGAAACACUUAACACUGCAGAAGUAGCUUAUUUUAAAAUGUCAAAAGUCAGUCCAUCUAAAAGCAGAGCCACCCGUUCUCCCAAACGUACUUCCAAGGCUUACUAUAUACUUCAUAUCCUAUAACACAAAGUUUCUUUCCAAA
rnacentral:lncRNA from 1 species